rnacentral:rRNA from 1 species
ACCUGGGCUACACACGUGCUACAAUGGGCGGUACAAAGGGCUGCGAACCCGCAGGGGGAGCGAAUCCCAAAAAGCCGCUCUCAGUUCGGAUUGCAGGCUGCAACUCGCCUGCAUGAAGCCGGAAUCGCUAGUAAUCGCGGAUCAGCAUGCCGCGGUGAAUACGUUCCCGGGCCUU